UGCAAGCGUUAAUCGGAAUUACUGGGCGUAAAGCGCACGCAGGCGGUUUGUUAAGUCGUGAAAUCCCCGAGCUUAACUUGGGAACUGCAUUUGAAACUGGCAAGCUAGAGUCUUGUAGAGGGGGGUAGAAUUCCAGGUGUAGCGGUGAAAUGCGUAGAGAUCUGGAGGAAUACCGGUGGCGAAGGCGGCCCCCUGGACAAAGACUGACGCUCAGGUGCGAAAGCGUGGGGAGCAA
rnacentral:rRNA from 1 species